UGUCUACCUCAGUGGAAGAUUACAUCGCUUGCAGCUGACUUGUGAAGAAGACCCUUCCCCGCCUUGAUCAGGACACCAGUCGAGGUAGCUUCCCUGGGAUUGAGAGCCCUUACCUGGAGGGCAAAGGACCUUUGUUGAUGUUCCAGGAGACAGCAGUAACUAUGUGGGUGUGAAUGAGGGCUUUCUUCUUCAUUAUGGAUGGCUGCAAUCACUGGCAGUGGAAGGGUGCUGCCCAGAACGUGUCCCUCAGGAACCACACGCAUCUGUCCAGCCCUGAGAGUCUCUUCAUGGUGGUAGGACAACGAGUGCCUUCAGUUCAUGAGUCAUAAUAAAGCAAAACCAACACCAGAACAAAGGUGUCCUAUGCUGGUCCUUGCCAUGCUGACUGCCUCUGGAGGAAUGCUGCAAAGCACCAUGACAUAUCACUCCUCCUCUCCACUUUGCCGCUGAAAAGCAAAUUGUUAAGAAGAUUGAGGACAAGAUCAACUCAGCACCUGUUUGAAUUCUGGCCCAGGUGCCAGAACAAAAGAACAACACGGGAUCGAUCCUUUUUUCUGAAAGGUAAAUAUCUACCAGAAUUAUGUACCUACUUCACGUGCCAAGAUGCAAAUGUAUAUUUAACACUUGUAUGCCUAAAGAAGGAAAAGAUUUUGGGAGCUUCAUGUUUUCAUCAUGCCCAACUCCUGACAACAGAGAAGAGUGAUCUUCCUGAAGCCAGAGAGUAUAUGUGAAAUGAAGCUGUGUUUGGAAACUGCUGAUUCAGGAAUUCAUUAUAAAAACAAAUUAAUGCCACAAGAAUCAUCUUGUCCAGUGACAAAAACACAUAAAGCCCAACUCUGCAAAGUUUGAGCAAAACCUAAGGCAUCCUAGGAUUCAAAAGGCCCUGGGUUAGCUCUGGUGGCAUCACUGUCAUUAGGAGCCCCAUUGACUGAGAUUGUGACUAGGGAUUAAUGAGUGGCCUGCCUUCUCUGAGGGUACAGCUCAGGGAGCUGGUCUGAAAACUGGCAGCAUGGUGCCUAAGCAAUUCUGUAAUACAGCCUUAUACUGACAUUUCAUAUGGAUGUAAAAUUUGUCUCUGCCUUUUUUAGCCAUACAAGAACUUCAUUUUUUACUGUGAGCGGGGAAAAAAGAGAGAAGAAAGCUCCUAGGUAAACAGGUAGUGGGCAUGGCUUUCUGAGAUUGCUGUAAUUAGAAAAGCCUAAAUGAUCCUAAUCAGAUUUAAGAAAAUUACAUGCAACAAGAAGCUUAGCUAAGUAAGCCAACUCUCUUGUUUUCCACUGGCAAAAAUGAUGAGUGGCAGCACAAGACUUCAUUUCCUUUCCACGUGUUCCUAAUCCUUCAUUUAUGAAGCCUUCAUUGUCAUUAGAUAGGUUUCUUUAGCCCCAUCAAAACAAAACUGCUCUUCAGCAUGAUUCCACCUGUUUGAUACAGUGGGUGUGGGAAUAAGCACUGCCAAAUGAGAGACUGUGGGGUGUUAGGGAGUCAGGCAUUUUCAUAAGGCUUUUUUUCAUCAUGAUCUCAUGGUAAGAUUUAGCCUUUGCUUGGGUUUCAGUGCCAACCAACUUUUUCUGCAGUCCUUUAGCACAGGUACCAGAGAGUUCACUGGUCUGUUUGACAGAAAUUUAAAAAAAUGUAACUAAAUAUUUUAUGCUUAUUGUUGGUAAAUAAUCAGGGAAAGAGAACUAGGGUGGUAAAAUUAAGAACCCUUGUAGCUGCAAAACUGUGCUGUGACAGUAUUGCUAAUUCUCCUUAUGCAUACUAUAAUGAGAUUCAUACUAAGGCUGCAUUUUUUCCAUUGCAUUCCUUUUUUCCAUACAAGGUGUAAUACUUCCUUGACAGUUAUUUAUUUUGAAACCACUCCUUUGAACAAGUAAUCACUUUUAAGCCAUGCCUGUAGUCUGCUAAUGGCUAUUUAACACCACCUGUGCAAUCAUUCCAGGAAUCUGCCUCUGUCACUCUUGACACUAGAAAGUACAAAACAGUAAGAUCAUAAAACUUCCUCAGGCAUAGGUCCCACUCUGCUCCCAGCCUCACCCUUGCAAAUCUGGAUGAAGAUCAUUGAUAACAAUGGGACUGUUAUGAACUGACCUCAGCUUAAUUGAGAGCAGGGUCUGUAAGGCAUAAUAAAGCUCUCCCAUAUUUCACACCAGGAUAGAGGUGCAGUGAGGCUGAUCAACUGCAAGAGCAGCAUUGUUCUGAAUUCCCUCAUGUAAGGCCUAUACAGGUGCAGUUAGCUUGGCUUCACUUCAUAUUUUUAGGGCUAAAUUAACUGACUUUCUUUGGAAAAGUUAGUACCAGUACUUCUGUGUUUUUAAACCAACUUCAGGUCCUACUCGAAGCAAGGGCAACUUUCCAUUUUACUUCCUGGGGAUCAAAACUGGAUUCCUGUUGCUUGCUCCUGUGAGAUGCUGAACACCUCUUUUGAAUUGUGCAAAUGUUAUUGAACAUCUGUCACAAGGUGUUUAGCACUUUGGGGAGACUGAGCUGACGUGCAUCUCUUACCCCUGUUAAUAAGCUCCCAGUUCAGGUAACUGUACACUGCACUUCUGGGUGGACAAAGGUUCCAGUGUUUAGUGCACUUCAUCUAGGUGACCAACUCUUUAAAAAUAGCAAUUGAUUUAAAGGGUACAAGUCUCCCCAAGUAGUAGUAAAUGGCGAGAGCUGCAUACGAACCUGCAGAAAUUUCAGCAUGUUUUACUUUUAGGAAUUCUUUUUUUUUUUUGGAGCGGGGGGGAAGAGAAGCUCCAUAAUCAUAAGGGUUUUGUUACUCACAGGACACAUUCCUGACUCCUCCCUGUAGAAAAGCCUGAUGGCCUAAUGUCAAGAAUGUGCCUGUAAACUACUAAUAACUCACUACUCCUGCCCUUGCCGUACAGUUUCUGGUUUAAAAGGGCAUGAAAGGUGCACACAACUGAUACUUCCAGGCUUGCUUCAACACUUACUGACUGGUCUUUCAUGCCAAUAUAAAUCACAGACAUAUGGGAGUCUGUACAGAUGAGUGUGAAAUCAGUGUAACUAAAGAAGGGGACAGCGUUUUCUAACUCACAUCCCCGUUUCAGGUUAGAUUUAGAUCACUGUUUCAGCUGGGAAUGUUCUUCAAAUUGCAAUGCCAGGUCCCAACAAAUGUUGUUAUUUAAACUGACAAUUCAAAUUAAAUAUUGAAAUUACUUUUUUAAAAAAAUAUUAAUACGAUUACAAGUUUUUCGUAUUCAGACAGUCUUUCCUGGAUGAGAUUUCUGAGCUACAGUCUUUACCCAAACAUUUUAUUUCAUGGAACAAAUUGAUGUUUGGCUUUAUUUGGUACUGCUUUAAGAGGAACGCUGGGCCUGAAAUAAUUUGGGCUUUUCCACGAAGUGGGAAUUUGGGUUUCUAGGCCAAGAGAGCCUAUAUAUUGAGGCAGACCGGGUAUAGCAGUGCUGUGGUGGACAGUGUGCCUGUUUUGCAUGAUCCUGGUUAAGUGAGCACAAGGCACAAGAGAAACAAGAAUUAUGAGGCACAAGAAAUAUUAAGUGUUGAGUCAUUCUGUCCUCUGCACAGAGGGUUUGUCCUGUGAUUUUCCUCUUACUUUUUCCAAUGCCUUAAAUAACCAUAUCAUUAGGCUGACUUUCCCCUCCAUCUUCCAAAGUGACUAACAAGAUUAUAUUUGUCUAGCAAUGCAAGUUUUGAGUCCUUCUGUCUUCCAACCUCUUGUCAUAGUAUGCGUUCCCAUAACACACUGCUCAGUACUCUGCAGUAAAUCUAUUUUUUCUCCCUUGCUUUCAUCCAACUAUCCCCAUGUGGCACAGACCCACCUGUUUAACAAGCAUCUCCAUGCUUUCUUCUGUGUGGCUCUCAUGCAUCAUGCCACCUUCCCAAACCCAGUCCUUGCUUAGAUAAAGUCUGCACUCUUUUGUUUUUUGAUGUCUCUUAAAACCCUUUGAUGCUUGUCGAAAACUUCAUUGAUUUGUACAGACCAUCCGUUUACUGCUCACUGAUGACCUCUGCCUAUCACUGAAGUGCAACUUCCUGGGGCAGGAACUAAAUUUUCUUCAGUAAAGAGGCUAGUAUAGCAGCUUAAAUCACUGUUCCAAAAAGAAAUGCAGCGUUUCAGCUCUAAAUGCUAGUUUGGGGUAACAAAGUCAACACUGAUCAAUUUCCAUGGACAAAAUUAAUUUUUAGGAGAUUCAGAUUUCUCACUUUUCCGUUUUAUUCAAGGUUUAUCAGAUUUUUGUUAUAAUCUCUCACCAUUGUUCCCCCCAAAAUGAGGAUGUUCUGCUAAAAAUGACUUCCUCAUGUACCCUUCAGUGCAUCAUGCCUCGCAGAAGUGAGGCAAAGGAGGUUGAGGGGAUGCUACCAGCUGAGACACUGAAUUUCAAGAGCAAACUUGAGAGAUUUAAUGAUCCUGAAAGUUGUUGAAACAUUGCUGAGUAUUUUGGUUUUGAUAGACUAUACUUAUAGCUCACAAAAGCAGCUACAGUCUUGUUGGUUUAAUGAAUGAGUUUUUCCUGUGAGGCAAACUGUCUUUGUUCAGUAUAUUUUUACUUUGCCAUAUUGAUCUGUGCCAGAGGAAGGACGGGUGCUUGUAACAUGAUCCCACAGCAACAGAAAAGGAAGAAUAAACAACAAGCAUUUGUUCCUUAAAUGCCAUUGCUAAUUUUGAACAUUUCCUUCUGUUUGAAAUAUAGCUUGUUUUAUGAACAAAACUCAGUCUGUGUAAACCCUAGUCUUCUCCCUCAGGGAUUUCAGGGCAAUCUUGGUGUUUUGGAGUUUGGAGAACUCCAGAUUGUUCCUGGACAUCAAAUGAUCUUCUCCUGGGGUAGAGGCUAUUUGCAGGUGCAGUGUGUUCAACCACUCCAUGAUCUUUCACUAACUGCUUUUUGUGCCUGUGCUGCAAAGUCCUCUCAGAGUGAAUAGUCCAGGUACACCUCUGGUUUCAUUGUGACACUGAAAAAAUAAAAAUAUAAAAUAGCAUGGGAGGAGUAACACAGAGGCCUGUGCUUCUUAUCUGCUAUAUGUUUUAUAAGAAGCGGUAUAAUCAGACAAACAAGCAAACCAUCAACCCAAUUAGUAAAUUAAACUUACACUGUGUUAAAAUAUUAAGGGUAAAAUAAAUGUAAAAAAGGGCAGGAAAUGCAAGGUUAAGUUGCCAUUCCAUCUUAUGCUAGCCCUGCUUUGUAUAGUGGCACUUCACCUGGGGAGUGACCAUUGUGAAAGGGU